rnacentral:rRNA from 1 species
AGGACGAACGCUGGCGGCGUGCCUAACACGAUGCAAGUCGAGCGGGGACAGCGGAGUAGCAAUACGAAGCUGUCUAGCGGCGGACGGGUGAGUAACGCGUGAGCAACCUGUCCCAGGUCAGGGGGAUAACGAGCCGAAAGGCUCCCUAAUACCGCAUAAGGACCACGAAGUCACAUGGCUUUGAGGUCAAAGGAGAGAUCCGGACUGGGGUGGCUCGCGUCUGAUUAGCUAGUUGGUGAGGUAAAGGCCCACCAAGGCGACGAUCAGUAGCCGACCUGAGAGGGUGAUCGGCCACAUUGGAACUGAGACACGGUCCAAACUCCUACGGGAGGCAGCAGUGGGGAAUAUUGGGCAAUGGGCGAAAGCCUGAACCCCCAGCAACGCCGCGUGAAGGAAGAAGGUCUUCGGAUCGCAAACUUCUAUCCUUGGUGAAGAUAAUGACGGUAGCCGAGAAGGAAGCCCCGGCUAACUACGUGCCAGCAGCCGC